UACGGAGGGUGCAACCGUUGCUCGGAAUCAUUGGGCGUAAAGCGCACGUAGGCGGUCCAGCAAGUCGGGUGUGAAAGCCCUCGGCUUAACCGAGGAAGUGCAUUCGAAACUACUGGACUUGAAUACUGAAGAGGAUCGCGGAAUUCCCGGUGUAGAGGUGAAAUUCGUAGAUAUCGGGAGGAACACCAGUGGCGAAGGCGGCGAUCUGGGCAGAUAUUGACGCUGAGGUGCGAAAGCGUGGGGAGCAAACAGG
rnacentral:rRNA from 1 species